rnacentral:rRNA from 1 species
AACGAACGCUGGCGGCAUGCUUAAUACAUGCAAGUCGAACGAGACCUUCGGGUCUAGUGGCGCACGGGUGCGUAACGCGUGGGAAUCUGCCCUUUGCUACGGAAUAACUCAGAGAAAUUUGUGCUAAUACCGUAUAAUGUCGCAAGACCAAAGAUUUAUCGGCAAAGGAUGAGCCCGCGUAAGAUUAGCUUGUUGGUGGGGUAAAGGCCUACCAAGGCGACGAUCUUUAGCUGGUCUGAGAGGAUGAUCAGCCACACUGGGACUGAGACACGGCCCAGACUCCUACGGGAGGCAGCAGUGGGGAAUAUUGGACAAUGGGGGAAACCCUGAUCUAGCCAUGCCGCGUGAUCGAUGAAGGCCUUAGGGUUGUAAAGAUCUUUCAGUGGGGAAGAUAAUGACUGUACCCACAGAAGAAGCCCCGGCUAACUCCGUGCCAGCCGCCGCAGUAA